ACGGGUGAGUAAUACAUCGGAACGUAUCCUGGAGUGGGGGAUAGCCCGGCGAAAGCCGGAUUAAUACCGCAUACGCUCUGAGGAGGAAAGCGGGGGACCUUCGGGCCUCGCGCUCAAGGGGCGGCCGAUGGCGGAUUAGGUAGUUGGUGGGGUAAAGGCCUACCAAGCCGACGAUCCGUAGCUGGUCUGAGAGGACGACCAGCCACACUGGGACUGAGACACGGCCCAGACUCCUACGGGAGGCAGCAGUGGGGAAUUUUGGACAAUGGGGGCAACCCUGAUCCAGCAAUGCCGCGUGUGUGAAGAAGGCCUUCGGGUUGUAAAGCACUUUUGUCCGGAAAGAAAUCAUCGGGGCCAAUACCCCUGGUGGAUGACGGUACCGGAAGAAUAAGCACCGGCUAACUACGUGCCAGCAGCCGCGGUAAUACGUAGGGUGCGAGCGUUAAUCGGAAUUACUGGGCGUAAAGCGUGCGCAGGCGGUGCUGUAAGACCGAUGUGAAAUCCCCGGGCUUAACCUGGGAACUGCAUUGGUGACUGCAGCCCCUGGAGUAUGGCAGAGGGGGGUGAAAAUUCCACGU
rnacentral:rRNA from 1 species